CAACACAGCCCAAGAUGCAUGACUCAGCACACUUACCUUGCAUAGAAAACAGUACUGUGCUAGUAGGCUGUGGGUGAAGGAGUUUGCAACUAACUACCACAGCACAGCCCAAGAUGCCUGACUCAGCACACUUACCUUGCACAGAAGAUCAUUUCACAACACAGCAGCAGGACCAAGCCACACAGACACACCCGUGGAGGUUAUCACGACACUCUUCCCGGCACAUUAUUGGGACGAGCCACACAGACACACCCGUGGAGGUUAUCACCACACUCUUCCCGGCACAUUAUUGGGACGAGCCACACAGACACACCCGUGGAGGUUAUCACAACACUCUUCCCGGCACAUUAUUGGGACGAGCCACACAGACACACCCGUGGAGGUUAUCACAACACUCUUCCCGGCACAUUAUUGGGACGAGCCACACAGACACACCCGUGGAGGUUAUCACAACACUCUUCCCGGCACAUUAUUGGGACGAGCCACACAGACACACCCGUGGAGGUUAUCACAACACUCUUCCCGGCACAUUAUUGGGACGAGCCACACAGACACACCCGUGGAGGUUAUCACCACACUCUUCCCGGCACAUUAUUGGGACGAGCCACACAGACACACCCGUGGAGGUUAUCACCACACUCUUCCCGGCACAUUAUUGGGACGAGCCACACAGACACACCCGUGGAGGUUAUCACAACACUCUUCCCGGCACAUUAUUGGGACGAGCCACACAGACACACCCGUGGAGGUUAUCACCACACUCUUCCCGGCACAUUAUUGGGACGAGCCAC